GACUCGGUAGCGGAUGGUCCGCAUCUGCACGAGGUAGCCGGGUGGUUUGAUGCUUUUGCGGAAGUUGCCUGUUCGACUCAGGCCCGAGUCA